rnacentral:lncRNA from 1 species
GCACUGAGCAUUAAAGGGGAUUGUUCUCUAUUCCUCACCUGUCAGGUUUACUGCUCCAAUUUAAUGCAGCAAAAAAGAAAAAGAGAGGCUAAAUGUUAGUUGGCCAAUGGUAACGAGAGUAACCAUGACAACCAAGAUUUAACAGCUCAAAAUUAGGGACAUACACUGACACACAUUAGAAAAUGAUAGCAUAUCAAAAUAUUUCAAGGCCUCUAAUCAAUCAUGAAGCAAAUGGAGGACAUGAGAGUACAUGGCUAAGCAAAGCAUUUGUGUGUGUAUUAAUGUCAGAUUCACUUUUAUUCAUCAACCUACAAAACACUACCACAAUUAAUUAUAUCCUAGGAAGAGUUUUAUGGUAGAGAUAUUUGAUUUUUAAAAAAAACAUGCCAUGAGACAACAACUCAUGCACUUAAUGGGAAUAUAACAUUAUCCCAUAUAAGAAAUUUAGUUCAUUAAAAACAAGCUUCUGUUAAGAGGUACAUCGUUCCUUUAAAAUACCUGCAAAUUGCACUGCCCUGCAGAAGAAUUUGCACAAUUGUAUAAUACACCACAAGGUAAGAAGUGGCAGAGUUCUUCAAACACAUUUUGGCAAGUAAGGUGAUUGAUUAUAAAUCUUUUUUUUCAAGUAAAAGCUUAAAUACAUUGUCAGUGUUGGAAAAUAUAAUACUCAUCGUUAUAUCUACAGAGCAUAACCCAUCUAUAUAGCUGUGCUAAUCCAG